GAUGAACGCUGGCGGCGCGCUUAACACAUGCAAGUCGAACGGAAAGGCCCAAGCUUGCUUGGGUACUCGAGUGGCGAACGGGUGAGUAACACGUGGGUGAUCUGCCCUGCACUUCGGGAUAAGCCUGGGAAACUGGGUCUAAUACCGGAUAGGACGAUGGUUUGGAUGCCAUUGUGGAAAGUUUUUUCGGUGUGGGAUGAGCUCGCGGCCUAUCAGCUUGUUGGUGGGGUAUUGGCCUACCAAGGCGUCGACGGGGAGCCGGCCUGAGAGGGUGUACGGCCACAUUGGAACCUGGAUACGGCCCACACUCCGGCGGGAGGCAGCAGGGGGGAAUAUUGCACAAUGGGCGCAAGCCUGAUGCAGGGACGCCGCGUGGGGGAUGACGGCCUUCGGGUUGUAAGCUCCUUUCGCUAGGGACGAAGCGUUUUUGUGACGGUACCUGGAGAAGAAGCACCGGCUAACUACGUG
rnacentral:rRNA from 1 species